rnacentral:rRNA from 1 species
UGGGGAAUAUUGCACAAUGGGCGCAAGCCUGAUGCAGCAAUGCCGCGUGUGUGAAGAAGGCCUGCGGGUUGUAAAGCACUUUUAUCAGGAAAGAAAAACAUAAGGCUAAUACCCUUGUACUUGACGGUACCUGAGGAAUAAGCACCGGCUAACUCCGUGCCAGCAGCCGCGGUAAUACGGAGGGUGCAAGCGUUAAUCGGAAUUACUGGGCGUAAAGCGAGUGCAGGCGGCUACGUCAGUCGGAUGUGAAAGCCCCGGGCUUAACCUGGGAAUUGCAUUCGAUACUGCGUGGCUAGAGUCUGGUAGAGGGAAGUGGAAUUCCAGGUGUAGCGGUGAAAUGCGUAGAUAUCUGGAGGAACAUCAGUGGCGAAGGCGGCUUCCUGGACCAAGACUGACGCUCAGGCUCGAAAGCGUGGGUAGCAAACAGGAUUAGAUACCCCCGUAGUCC